AAUUAGUACUUUAUGAUUAAAAGCUGAUAGCAGUAGCUCCGCAGCAGAAACGCUCUCUUUGUGGUCACCUCAGUCGUCCAAGCUGCAUUGUGGGAGAAUAGUGUUCGCCAACAGCACACACAAGUAUCAGAAAUAUUAAGUAUGCCUACUGUUUGGCUUCAGGGUACUUCAUUUUGUUCCUUUUCUAGUGUAAAUAUACUGCAUAGUCAAAACCACCUUGAACUGACUCAGUGAGAAUUAUGGAUUCUGGACACACUGUUGGUCUGUUAGUCUUGUUUGACCAAAUUCGGACCUUGAGUAUUGGAAACACAACCCCACAUAGACCCCUGGUCCCGUUAGUUUGGGAAUCGCAGUUGGCAACAUGCUAGUUUGUUUGAUAAGUAAAUGUUAGGGCUUACUGGAAAUGCUAACAUUUGGGGUUAACAUUCAGUUCAGCUUUGAGGGCAGACAGCGGUGGGUCGACCAGGCACGGAAACAAUUGGUUACUGAUAUCAAUAUAAGAAAGACCUGAGAGAGGCGAAGAGGCAUCACAACCAUGAUGAAGACUUUGUGUGUUGCUGUCGUUGUGCUGAGUCUCACCUCAGUGUGCCAGCCUGCGUCGCUGGUCUGUGAGAAGUUGCUGAAGCCAGAGAUAUAGAUUUCCUUGGGAAAUGGUACAUCGUAGCCAUAUCCUCAGAGAGCUGCUGGCUUAAUGCAUUCAAUGUUGUUUUUGAGCCAAGUGGUGGUAUGAACUUUGCCUCAAAGGACACAUCGAACAUCUACGAAAAAAAUGCACGGAUAUUGCAUAAAUGAGACAGAAUCAAUUUUAUAUCAGAACAACACCAUGUUUGAUCUCGACGUUAAUAAUACCGUAACUGGUAAACCAGAUAAGUUGAUGCAAAGUGUGUGUCCCGACUGCAUCGUUGGACAGACCGCUGACAAUGACUUCAUGAGCGGUCUUUGGCUCUUAAGUAGGAGGCAGAAAGUCACUGCUGCUGAGCUGGCGGAGUUUGAGGCACAGGGAAAGUGUCUUGGCCUGAAAAAAAUGGUGCUCUUCGGUACAAAUCACGACUAUGAAAACUGCCCGCCAUGGGAAGACAUGGACGAAGAAUUUACGGAUUUAUAUGAAAAUCUGAAAAGUAAUUUUGCAGUUCCUCUUCUGUGUAUUAUACAGUCUAUUAAUUUCCACGAACUCCUGUAUGAGUGGGCUCAGGAAACGUGGACUUCUCUUUGGUGAAUGUGCUAGGCCACAGCCAGAAACCCACUUUCUCUUCAGGUUUUUAAUGGGUCCCUGCUAAGUGCUCAUUUACAGACAGUCUAUUAACUCUUUGGGAUAAUUCAGACUGUUUUAAACACAAAAUAACCCUGUAAUCAGAUAUAUUACAACCAAUAAACAUUUGGACAUUUUAACACAAUUCAUAUGACCACAAAAAUAAUUAAACCUUAUAUUGUGUUCGUGCACAUAUAUAUCUGGAACUAGGAAGCUCUACAGUACCAUCACUUUAUCAAUCCAUUAUUGAAUUGAAUUGUAUAAUAUUGCAGGAAUUCUGCCUUAAACAUGUUUAUAAAAGUGACCAAAGCACUG